UUCCUCAACAUUAUUCGAAUCACAGCACCUAAACUUUUUCUUCAGUAUGAUAAAUAAUGGCACAAGCAAAAAGGCAAAGGGGCGAGGAGUUUGAAGAUAUAGAAGAAGAAGAAGGCAACACAAGCUGGUUACGUGGAAAGAAGUGCAAAAUUAAAAACUUUUUAUUUUGACGUAGACUGGGUCAGGUAUUUACUAUUUAUGCAUUAUAUGGAGAGGAAACGGUCCAAUUUAGCCGAAUUCAAAAGUCACCGUCUACGCGCUUUUUUUAUUUUAUUAUUUUAAUUAUCUAGAACACAUGUUAUUUAUACUUUAUUUUUAUUCCUUGUCAGAUUAUUGAGAUGGGCAGAAGUUUGGUACUACUACUAUUGUACCUCUUGCUACAAAAUUUGAACGUUAAUAUUAAAAUUUUAAGCCCAAUAAUAUAUUAGAAUACAACUAAUUUCUUCCAAAAGAAAGGUAUGCUAGUGUCCGCAACAUUUUCAAUUAUAUCGGACAAAAAGAAGAAUUUUCCAUUACAUACUUGUCCCGUUUUAUGUGAUGCAUUGACACAAAGUUUAAGAAAUAUAAUUUUUUUAAAAAUUUGUGAUCUAAAACAAAUACUCUAUAUUUGGUGUGCAGAGUCUAAACUAAAUCAUUUAUAAAUAUAAAAAUAUUCCGUCCGUCUAAAUUUCAGGUCCACUAUUGAAUUGACACACUUCUUAAGAAAUAAUAAAUAACACCACAAUUUUACUAUAAAUCUCUUAAUUAUUAUUAUUGAAAAGUUAAUUUUGACUAUUAUAAAUCUAAACUGUUGGAAAAUAACAAGGGUAAAUUAUGUAUAAAAUGACAAGUUAUUUAUUAGUUUUUUAAAUUAAACAAGUAAAAAUAAAUGAGUAUUAUAACAAAUAAUCUUGAACGGCCCUUAAUAAAAGGAAAGUGUAUUCAUAAAUUGGUAAAUUAGAUGAAGUACUAUAUUAUAUAGGCCUGUUCCCCACUUUCAAAUUUAUUAGUCUCCUCUCUCCUCUCUCUCCCUCUCUCUCUCUCUAGAUUUUCUCCUUAUUGUGGAUUGGUUCUCCGCAAUAGGGGCGUUAAUCUCGGUGCUCCUAAAUCCUAUUCCUCAGUGUUCCUUGGAUUUUCAGGUCAGCAGGAUGUUCAAGUGAAUGUUCUCGUUAUAGCUGAUUCUUGCAAACUAAUUUGGCUGUUAAUACAUGCUGUUAAUAGCUUUUGCCUGCUUUUUUCUCCAGGUACAUUC